rnacentral:lncRNA from 1 species
CGCGCUGAUCUCUGAGGUAAAAAACAAACAAACAAACAAACAAAAACACACAUUGAGGUAUAAUCUUAAGACUUCUUGGAACAAAUAACAUAUCAAUUACGUAAUAGUUAAUAAAGCCGAGGUAGUUUAGCAGCGUAUGUUGUUCAAACAAAACAAUUUUGUGAAGAAAUAUCCGCUCGUAAGACGCGUCUCCUCUCCUUCACAGCGAAUGAUUGACAGAUGACUGUCCGCUGUUUGAAUUCCCCGCCACGGAAACGGCGAAACAGCGCCACGAAAUCUACGCGUGGCCACACAUAUAUUGCAUCCGUAGUGAUAAGCACUACCAUAGAGAAUGAAUGGGGAAAGUUAAGGGAAGUUAAGCUUAACUAUUUUCGGCUCCCGCGCGAAAGGUCCCCAGUUCGAAACUGGGCGGGAACAGUGACUCUCUUUUUCACAAUUGUACAAUUGGCUUUCUGUUGAGGAGGAACUCAACGCUACCAAGACUUUGGCAGCAGUAACUUCCACGCCGACAGUCUCUAUACUUUUAACCAGGUAGUUUCAAUGAACAGAUGGCUGGUGAACUCAAAGACCCAAUAUUUCGUAUAACGUUUAAAAAAAAAAAUUAAAUGAGACGAAAAAACAGCACAAAAGAAACGGCCACAGAGGUUUCCCGCAGACAACUGGAAAAAUGCUUGGUUUGCCGCUAAAAAUAGAAGGUAUUUGCAGACUGAACCAGCACAAGGCAAUCUGUAAUUGAUUCGUGUUCCAAGAGGCGUGCGUUGAAAAGGUCAGACACAACCUUGGUUGCCGGUUUCCGUAGUGUAGAGGUUAUCACGUUCGCCUUACACGCGAAAGGUCCCCAGUUCGAAACUGGGCGGAGACAGAUGAAGGCUUUUGUUCUUUCUGUGCUGAAUUGGCUAUCUGGUAAGCAGGUGGUCCACGCUGCAAAGGCCUUAAUUCCAAGGUAAGUUAAGGGGAGAUUUUUCAGGAAAUUCUGCGCAGACUGCCAUGCCGAAUUAACUCUGUCCUGUUGUGUGUGGGAUUUACGCAGAUUGUCUAUUUGCUUUUGGGCACAUCACGGUAUAAAUAUUUCCCAAAUGAGCACUACAGAGGAAUUGAGGAGUUUCUGUAGUGUAGUGGUCAUCACGUUCGCCUAACACGCGAAAGGUCCUCGGUUCGAAACCGAGCAGAAACCGCUGAUCCCUUUUGAAGAAAAGUAUGAACCCCUUUUAGACUACAGUGGGCUUUAGAAAGUGUUACCUUUGUGCGCUUUUCACCGAGCCUGCAC